rnacentral:rRNA from 1 species
GACGAAGGAUGCAAGCGUUAUCCGGAUUCAUUGGGUUUAAAGGGAGCGUAGGCGGCCUUAUAAGUCAGUGGUGAAAUCUCUGGGCUUAACCCAGAAAUUGCCAUUGAUACUGUAGGGCUUGAGUACAGUUGCCGUUGGCGGAAUAUGACAUGUAGUGGUGAAAUACAUAGAGAUGUCAUAGAACACCGAUUGCGAAGGCAGCUAACGAAACUGUAACUGACGCUGAGGCUCGAAAGUGCGGGAUCAAACAGG